GAAACGCGAUAGUUAAUGUGAAUUGCAGAAUUCAGUGAAUCAUCGAGUCUUUGAACGCACAUUGCGCCUUUUGGUAUUCCGAGAGGCACGUCUGUUCGAGCGUCAGCGAAACCCUUCCGGACCGGCGGUUUUUUUUUUGCGAAACCUGCCUGGCCUCGGGACCCUGGCGUGGGGAAGUGACCGCCGCUGCCCCUCGGGGCGCGGGUCCGGGUCGUCCCCCGCUUAAACGCGGAGAAAGCUAGCGGGCAUACCCCCACGUUGCGACAACUCGUAAAUUGUUUUUUGCCGUUGUUACGUCAAAGUGGAUGUGCCCCGCCUAUUUCAAACCCAACCUUUUUACCUGACCCUUGACCUCGGAUCAGACGAGGAUACCCGCUGAACUUAA
rnacentral:misc_RNA from 1 species